CAGCCGCCGCGGUAAUACGGAGGAUGCAAGCGUUAUCCGGAUUCAUUGGGUUUAAAGGGUGCGCAGGCGGAUAUAUAAGUCAGUGGUGAAAUGCAACAGCUUAACUGUUGAGCUGCCGUUGAUACUGUAGGUCUAGAGUGUAAUUGGGGUAAGCGGAAUAUGUCAUGUAGCGGUGAAAUGCUUAGAUAUGACAUAGAACACCGAUCGCGAAGGCAGCUUACCAAGCUACAACUGACGCUCAUGCACGAAAGCGUGGGGAUCAAACAGGAUUAGAUACCCUGGUAGUCCACGCUGUAAACGAUGAUUACUAGCUGUUGGCGAUAUGCAGUCAGUGGCGUAGCGAAAGCGUUAAGUAAUCCACCUGGGGAGUACGUUCGCAAGUAUGAAACUCAAAGGAAUUGACGGGGGCCCGCACAAGCGGAGGAGCAUGUGGUUUAAUUCGAUGGUACGCGAGGAACCUUACCUAGACUUGAACGCAUUAGGAAUAGAUUAGAAAUAGUUUAGCCAGCAAUGGCCUAUUGCGAGGUGCUGCAUGGUUGUCGUCAGCUCGUGCCGUGAGGUGUUAGGUUAAGUCCUGCAACGAGCGCAACCCCUACUUUUAGUUGCCAUCAGGUAAAGCUGGGCACUCUAGAAGAACUGCCUACGCAAGUAGAGAGGAAGGUGGGGAUGACGUCAAAUCAGCACGGCCCUUACGUCUAGGGCUACACACGUGCUACAAUGGCCGGUACAGAGGGCAGCUACUGGGUGACCAGAUGCGAAUCUCGAAAGCCGGUCUCAGUUCGGAUCGGAGUCUGCAACCCGACUCCGUGAAGUUGGAUUCGCUAGUAAUCGCGUAUCAGCCAUGACGCGGUGAAUACGUUCCCGGGCCUUGUACACACCGCCCGUCAAGCCAUGGGAGCUGGGGGGACCUGAAGUCCGUAACCGAGAGGAGCGGCCUAGGGUAAAAUCAGUGACUGGGGCUAAGUCGUAACAAGGUAU
rnacentral:rRNA from 1 species